rnacentral:rRNA from 1 species
GAUGAACGCUGACAGAAUGCUUAACACAUGCAAGUCGAUGGGGAAGUGGUGCUUGCACCAUGGCAACCAUGGCGGACGGGUGAGUAACGCGUAAGGGACUUACCUGCAGGACUGGGAUAACAGGGGGAAACUCCUGACAAGACCGGAUAAUGUCAUGGAGCUGCAUGGCUUUAUGAUGAAAGGAGACGCCUGCGGAGAGCCUUGCGUCCUAUUAGCUAGUUGGUGAGGUAAUGGCUCACCACGGCGAAGAUAGGUAGCCGGCCUGAGAGGGUGGACGGCCACGAGGGGACUGAGAGGCGGCAGUUACGACUACGGGAGGCAGCAGGGGGGAAUAUUGGACAAUGGGGGCAACGCUGAUGCAGCAAUUCUGUGUGCACGAAGAAGGUUUUCGGAUUGUAAAGUGCUUUCAGCAGGGAAGAAGUAAGUGACGGUACCUGCAGAAGAAGCGACGGCUAAAUACGUG